rnacentral:rRNA from 1 species
UACGGGGGGGGGCAAGCGUUGUUCGGAAUUACUGGGCGUAAAGGGCGCGUAGGCGGCUCAAUCAGUCGGGCGUGAAAGCUCUGGGCUUAACCCAGGAAAAGUCGUUCGAUACUGUUGGGCUAGAGUGUGGAAGAGGCUACUGGAAUUCCGUGUGUAGCGGUGAAAUGCGUAGAUAUACGGAGGAACACCUGCGGCGAAGGCGGGUAGCUGGCCAACACUGACGCUGAUGCGCGAAGGCCAGGGGAGCAAACGGG